UACGUAGGGGGCAAGCGUUGUCCGGAUUUAUUGGGCGUAAAGAGCGUGUAGGCGGUUUGGUAGGUCCGUUGUGAAAACUCGAGGCUCAACCUCGAGACGCCGAUGGAAACCAUCAGACUAGAGUCCGGAAGAGGAGAGUGGAAUUCCCGGUGUAGCGGUGAAAUGCGCAGAUAUCGGGAGGAACACCAAUGGCGAAGGCAGCUUGCUGGGACGGUACUGACGCUGAGGCGCGAAAGCGUGGGGAGCAAACAGG
rnacentral:rRNA from 1 species